rnacentral:rRNA from 1 species
UGAGUACGAGCGGCUACGGCCGCGAAGUGGAUGAUGUCAAGCUUCCAAGAAAAGCCCUAUACCCGUUAAGGCAUGAUGGCCUGUACCCGAAACCGACACAGGUGGGGUGGUAGAGAAUACCGAGGGGCGCGAGGUAACUCUCUCUAAGGAACUCAGCAAAAUGGCCCCGUAACUUCGGGAGAAGGGGUGCCACCGCGAGGUGGUCGCAGUGAAGAGGCCCAGGCGACUGUUUACCAAAAACACAGGUCUCCGCUAAGUCGCAAGACGAUGUAUGGGGGCUGACGCCUGCCCAGUGCCGGAAGGUUAAGGAAGCUGGUCAGCGCAAGCGAAGCUGGCGACUGAAGCCCCGGUGAACGGCGGCCGUAACAAUAACGGUCCUAAGGUAGCGAAAUUCCUUGUCGGGUAAGUUCCGACCCGCACGAAAGGCGUAACGAUCUGGGCGCUGUCUCGGAGAGAGGCUCGGCGAAAUAGAAUUGUCUGUGAAGAUGCGGACUACGUGCACCCGGACAGAAAGACCCUAUGAAGCUUUACUGUAGCUUGGUAUUGUGCUCGGGCUCGGAAUGCGCAGGAUAGGUGGGAGGCUUUGAUCCAUUGCUUGCGGGUGAUGGUGAGCCACUGGUGAGAUACCACUCUUUCCGAGCUAGAGUUCUAACAGCAACCCGUUAUCCGGGUGCUGGACAGUAUCAGGUGGGCAGUUUGACUGGGGCGGUCGCCUCCUAAAAGGUAACGGAGGCGCGCAAAGGUCUGCUCAGGCUGGUUGGAAAUCAGCCGACGAGUGUAAAAGCAGAAGCAGGCUUGACUGUGAGACCUACAAGUCGAACAGGGAGGAAACUCGGCUUUAGUGAUCCGACGGUUCUGCGUGGAAGGGCCGUCGCUCAACGGAUAAAAGUUACUCUAGGGAUAACAGGCUGAUCUCCCCCAAGAGUUCACAUCGACGGGGAGGUUUGGCACCUCGAUGUCGGCUCAUCGCAACCUGGGGCUGAAGUCGGUCCCAAGAGUUGGGCUGUUCGCCCAUUAAAGCGGUACGCGAGCUGGGUUCAGAACGUCGUGAGACAGUUCGGUCCAUAUCCGGUGCACGCGCAGGAAUAUUGAGAGGAUUUCUCCCUAGUACGAGAGGACCGGGAGGAACGCACCUCUGGUGUGCCAGUUAUCGUGCCAACGGUAAACGCUGGGUAGCCAUGUGCGGAGUGGAUAACCGCUGAAAGCAUCUAAGUGGGAAGCCACCUCAAGAUGAGUAUUCCCAUGGCAUAAGCCAGUAAGGUCACGGGAAGAACACCCGUUGAUAGGCUCUACGUGGAAGCGCAGUAAUGUGUGAAGCGGAGGAGUACUAAUAGACCGAGGGCUUGACC